rnacentral:rRNA from 1 species
UGGGGAAUUUUGGACAAUGGGCGCAAGCCUGAUCCAGCCAUGCCGCGUGCAGGAUGAAGGCCUUUGGGUUGUAAACUGCUUUUGUACGGAACGAAAAAGCUCUCUCUAAUACAGGGGGUGAAUGACGGUACCGUAAGAAUAAGCACCGGCUAACUACGUGCCAGCAGCCGCGGUAAUACGUAGGGUGCAAGCGUUAAUCGGAAUUACUGGGCGUAAAGCGUGCGCAGGCGGUUAUGUAAGACAGAGGUGAAAUCCCCGGGCUCAACCUGGGAACUGCCUUUGUGACUGCAUAGCUGGAGUGCGGCAGAGGGGGGAUGGAAUUCCGCGUGUAGCAGUGAAAUGCGUAGAUAUGCGGAGGAACACCGAUGGCGAAGGCAAUCCCCUGGGCCUGCACUGACGCUCAUGCACGAAAGCGUGGGGAGCAAACAGGAUUAGAGACCCUUGUAG